rnacentral:rRNA from 1 species
GACGAACGCUGGCGGCGUGCCUAAUACAUGCAAGUUGAGCGCUGAAGGUUGGUACUUGUACCAACUGGAUGAGCAGCGAACGGGUGAGUAACGCGUGGGGAAUCUGCCUUUGAGCGGGGGACAACAUUUGGAAACGAAUGCUAAUACCGCAUAAAAACUUUAAACACAAGUUUUAAGUUUGAAAGAUGCAAUUGCAUCACUCAAAGAUUAUCCCGCGUUGUAUUAGCUAGUUGGUGAGGUAAAGGCUCACCAAGGCGAUGAUACAUAGCCGACCUGAGAGGGUGAUCGGCCAAAUUGGGACUGAGAAAAGGCCCAAACUCCUACGGGAGGCAGCAGUAGGGAAUCUUCGGCAAUGGACGAAAGUCUGACCGAGCAACGCCGCGUGAGUGAAGAAGGUUUUCGGAUCGUAAAACUCUGUUGGUAGAGAAGAACGUUGGUGAGAGUGGAAAGCUCAUCAAGUGACGGUAACUACCCAGAAAGGGACGGCUAACUACGUG